CGCAGCUCUCCCGCUGUCUGUCUCUGUGUUUGUGUGUCUGUGCGCUGAAGGCAUAAUUUUGCUUCCGUAACCUAUCACCCAGAUCUGCCGUUGUGCAGUCUCAGUGCAGACGGAUAUCUAGCGCUGUUGCCAGCUGUCGCACUCGGCAUUGCUCCACCAUCCGAACACACGUAGCCACAGCCGCACGGCGCGCAUCCAACCAUCCAUUCCUCAUCCAACCCCCCCUUUCACUGGCAGACAGCAAGGCAGACCCUGUGGAGACGUCUGCUUCACUCACUCUCCAAACGGGACACAACAGUCUCCAUCGCUCUAACGCCUCCUCCAGCCUCCUCCAGCGUCCUCCAGCGUCCUCCAGCGUCCUCCAGCCUCCUCUCUGUAGAGAGUAUAGACCCUGUGUGUUGAGGGCCUGUAAAGUGUAGACAACCCCCACUACCGGCAGCAGCACCAUGGCAGCUAUGAGACCAGAGGAGAGGACCCCUUCUUCAGGACCACAGUCAUGUCCCGCUACGGCAGCAGGACUCCAGACAGACACCAGGCAGCCCGGGGCAGAGAUACAGGAGACGCUGGUGUACAUGCAGUGCUGUGGGCAGGAAGCCCCUAACAUGACAGAGAGCAACGGCCAUAGGAACAUUAUGAAUAUGAACCAUCAGGUCCCGGUCUUCGUGCCCCAGGGGAGGACUGAGGGGGGCUGGACCCACCCCUCGGCUCCCCAGCAGACUACAACUCCCACAAUGCCCUCCUGCCCCGUGUCUGCCCCUUACAGUUUCCGGAGCCCAGGGUCGGUGGAGAUGGAUGAGAUCAUGGCAGCCAUGGUUCUGACCAGUCUGUCCUGCAGCCCUGUGGUACAGAACCCUCGUCAGAGUCAGAAUGACCCGGUACCAGGUCCAUCAUCAGGGGGUGGAGACAUGGAGUGUGGGGGCGGGGAGCUGUCUGACAGCGGUAGCAGUGGCUACUGGAGCUGGGACCAUGGCAACAUUAGUCCCGCCCCGUCCCUGUCCGUCACCGAGAUGGACAGCAGCCCCGACGAAGGACUGCACAUGGAGCUGGAGCAGGGGGUGGGGCUACAUGCAGCCAAGAGGUCAAAGAGUUCUUUCAGAGGAGCAUACAGGUGUCUUUGGCCCAGCUGUGGCAAGGUGCUCACGUCUUCAGUUGGGAUGAAGAGACACGUUCGUGUGCUGCACCUGGGCAGUGGAUCGGAGCAGUCCCACAGAGAGGAGGACUUCUACUACACUAAGAUCUCCUGUGAAGCUCCACCAGCCCCCGCCCCGACCUCGUCCCCUCACGUCCCCUGGGCGUCCUGUGGCUCCCCUCCAGGCCCUGGUCCAGGUCCCGGUCUCCAGAUCCCCUCCGGGUCAGGGAGCUCCAGGCCCAGCUCAGGCCCAGGGUCAGCCCCAGGCCAGCCCAGCCCUCUCAGCCAGUCUGCCCCCAGCUCCUUCUGGCAGAUACAGACAGACCACCUCUAUCAGGUGACGGUGUCCUGUCGCAGCCCCUCCCCCGGUUGUUGGACCCCUCCCCCUCUCACCGUCUCUAACCAGCACAGCCAUCACAACUCCCAGGUGGUGAGGGGUCGCUGCAGGUCUGUGAGUGUAGGAGAGCAGUGGCUUCAACAGAACAGCGCCACCAGCAGGUUGACCACCGUGACUGCAGCCUCCCCGUCACGCUCUCACUGCUCCUUCAGGAAGGGACGAGGGGAGGCCAAAAAGUGUCGUAAGGUGUACGGAGUGGAGCGCAAGGAGCAGUGGUGCACGGCCUGCCGCUGGAAGAAAGCAUGCCAGCGCUUCCCUGACUUAACGAGUGCGUGAACGAAGGAUGAUGAAAGAGAGAGAGAGACUUGAAAAAAAGAGAGGACGCGAUCACAAUCAGGGCCUCACAAGCUGAUCUGGCCCCAGGAUACUUCUACCUUCCACUGAUGAACAUGUCUCUCCUCACCUCCCACUGAGAACAUGUCUCUCCUCACCUCCCACUGAGAACAUGUCUCUCCUCACCUCCCACUGAGAACAUGUCUCUCCUCACCUCCCACUGAUGAACAUGUCUCUCCUCACCUUCCACUGAUGAACAUGUCUCUCCUCACCUUCCACUGAUGAACAUGUCUCUCCUCACCUUCCACUGAUGAACAUGUCUCUCCUCACCUUCCACUGAUGAACAUGUCUCUCCUCACCUUCCACUGAUGAACAUGUCUCUCCUCACCUUCCACUGAUGAACAUGUCUCUCCUCACCUUCCACAGAUUCUUUCAAUCUCAUCCUCCAACACGUCAAUCUUCCCUGUGGUGUCUACAGAGGCUAUGGAAUACCUUUACCUCUAUAUGGUGUGCUAUGAGAUCUUCUUUUGGACAAUUUUGUAUUUUUGUGUUUUUUUUAAUUAUUAUAUAAAUAACAUUAUGUCAUGUUUUGGCACAUUUUGCAAUGUAUUUUACAAGGAUAAUGAUGAAUGAGCUACAUUUGGUUUGACUCGUUGUGGUUUGAGUCGAGUCAGUUCCCUCCAUACAGUUCCCUUCUACUCUUCCCCGUCUUGGUGAACAGUGUCAUGGUCCUGUCUGUAUUUAUGGUCCUGUCUGUAUAAGCUAUUGGACAGGUUAGAGGUCAAUUGGAAUUGAACCCAACCCUGAUAUUGGACCACUCCCAAGGGAUCAGGCAAUAUUAGACAACUUAAUUUGUAGUAGCCUUCUAGUGAAAUAAGAAACAUAGUGUUUAACGUUAUUUUAUAACACAGUCAAAUAAAGUACCAAAAAAAAAACA